UACUCCUACGGGAGGCAGCAGUAGGGAAUCUUCCACAAUGGACGAAAGUCUGAUGGAGCAACGCCGCGUGUGUGAUGAAGGGUUUCGGCUCGUAAAACACUGUUGUAAGAGAAGAAUAGCAUUGAGAGUAACUGCUCAGUGUCUGACGGUAUCUUACCAGAAAGGAACGGCUAAAUACGUGCCAGCAGCCGCGGUAAU
rnacentral:rRNA from 1 species